rnacentral:rRNA from 1 species
CGGUAGGCCUAACACAUGCAAGUCGAACGGCAGCACAGGAGAGCUUGCUCUCUGGGUGGCGAGUGGCGGACGGGUGAGGAAUACAUCGGAAUCUACUCUGUCGUGGGGGAUAACGUAGGGAAACUUACGCUAAUACCGCAUACGACCUACGGGUGAAAGCAGGGGAUCUUCGGACCUUGCGCGAUUGAAUGAGCCGAUGUCGGAUUAGCUAGUUGGCGGGGUAAAGGCCCACCAAGGCGACGAUCCGUAGCUGGUCUGAGAGGAUGAUCAGCCACACUGGGACUGAGACACGGUCCAGACUCCUACGGGAGGCAGCAGUGGGGAAUAUUGGACAAUGGGCGCAAGCCUGAUCCAGCCAUACCGCGUGGGUGAAGAAGGCCUUCGGGUUGUAAAGCCCUUUUGUUGGGAAAGAAAUCCAGCUGGCUAAUACCCGGUUGGGAUGACGGUACCCAAAGAAUAAGCACCGGCUAACUUCGUGCCAGCAGCCGCGGUAAUACGAAGGGUGCAAGCGUUACUCGGAAUUACUGGGCGUAAAGCGUGCGUAGGUGGUCGUUUAAGUCCGUUGUGAAAGCCCUGGGCUCAACCUGGGAACUGCAGUGGAUACUGGGCGACUAGAGUGUGGUAGAGGGUAGCGGAAUUCCUGGUGUAGCAGUGAAAUGCGUAGAGAUCAGGAGGAACAUCCAUGGCGAAGGCAGCUACCUGGACCAACACUGACACUGAGGCACGAAAGCG